rfam:Myotis lucifugus cont2.19063, whole genome shotgun sequence.
GAGACACCCUUACGGGGCAAGAUUUGCUUCAGUGGGGCUUUGGUGCUCACUGAGUCUGCCCCCUAAGUGUGUCCCU